rnacentral:piRNA from 1 species
GACUAUGCUUCUGCCUUUGAACCUAU